rfam:Saccharomyces kudriavzevii IFO 1802 unplaced genomic scaffold c1868, whole genome shotgun sequence.
AACUAUUACAGUCGAUGAGGAAAGGUUAUAGUUCAUGUGUAACAUCUGUGUUUAAAAAUAACUCUAGUUAUCCAGAGCAUUUUUCACAAGUGUUUGUGUAAGAUGCUUUUCUGGGUCGAUGUGGAUUGUGCCGUGGCCUUUUUCACCACCUUUAUAGCGGUGCUUUGACUAUUCAUUACUGAGGCUG